UCGCGCUACGCGGGGAGAUAGCGGUGCCCUGAACCUGCAAUCCGCUACAGCAGGGCGGAAUUCCCGCUCCGAGGCUCUGCCUUGUGAGGUCCGACUUCGAUAAGCGGUGUGGACAUCUGGGUCCUGCGCAACGUAUAAGACGUGAACCCCGUCAGGUCCGGGAGGAAGCAGCGGUAAGCGUCGGAGCGUGUGUUGCAGGGCAGCCUGGGUCGAGCUGGCUGCCGAAGCCCCGCUCAUAAUGCAGCUGUCGACGGCGGGUGCGCGG
rnacentral:SRP_RNA from 1 species